AUAAUUUGGGCCAAAAAUUAGAAA
rnacentral:siRNA from 1 species